rnacentral:lncRNA from 1 species
GCACAACCUGGCUGUGCUGUCGGCAGCUGUCGAGCGGGCAACCAGCGCUGCGGAGAAGCUGGGGGCUGUACACCAGGAGGCCCGGAUGAGCCGAGCAGCAGAGGUGAUGGUCCAGCACGUGGAGAACCUGAAGCGGCACCACAUGCGGGAGCACGCGGAGCUGGAGGAGAUGAAGCGCCUGAUCCAGCAAAACUCCCGCAACCGGCAGCUGGCAGAGACCCAGGAUGAUGUGGAGCCACGGCUGAGGCCUCACCCCCUGAAGCGAACUUUCCAGCAGGGGUCUGCCCGCCGCAGAGUCAGCAUCGCUGUCAUCCCCAAGCAGCUC